ACGGAGGAAGAGUGAGAGCACAAGUGGGGGAGAGGCAGAGAAAGGAAGACAGAGGAUCCGAAGCAGGCUUCAUGCUGGCAACAGAAGUCCAAUGUGGGGGUCAAACUCAUGAACGAUGAGAUCAUGAGCUGCAGUUGGACCCUUAGCCAACAGAGCCACCCAGCCAGCCACUGGGUUAUUUGUUUUUUGGGUGUUGAGUUUGAGAGACAGAGCAUGAGUGGGGGAGGGGCAGAGAGAGAGGGAGACAGAAUCUGAAGCAAGCUCCAGGCUCCGAGCUGUCAGCACAGAGCCCAACACGGGGCUUGAACUCACGGACCGCAAGAUCAUGACCUGAGCCGAAGUCAGACGCUCAACCAACUAAACCACCCAGGCGCCCCUAAAUGUGUCUUUCUACCUCAAGGGCGUUAUUAAUCCCCGAUGCCUAAAAUAGUACCUACUGUUCUUCUAACAUCAGUUAGGAAUAUAUUUGGCUGCAAGUAACAACAACAACAAACUAUGACAAACCAUGAACUUCACAAAUUUUAGCCACCUAAGAAGAAAUCCAAAGGUUUGAACUGAAACAUCGGCUCUUGUUGGGUCUGGAGCCUGCCAGCUUUUGGAUGGAAACCACACUGUCAGCAAUCCUGGUUAUCAGGCCUUUGGACUUGGACUGGAACAAAAUCAUCGGCUCUCCUGGGUCUCCAGCUUGCCAACUCACUGCAGAUCUUGGGACUUACCUUCUUCCAUAAUCACAUGAGCCAAUUCCUUGCAAUCAAUUGCUCAAUCUUAUUGGUUCUGUUUCUAUGGAGAACCCUGACUAAUACAGAAUGAUAUUGUUAUGAUUGGUUCAAAGGGCUGUACAACAGAAAUAUAAUGUGAGUCAUUUGUGUAAUUCAAAGUCUUCUAGUAGCCACAUUAAAAACAUGAAGAGGUGAAAUCACUUGUAAUAAUAUAUUUAACCCAAGCUAUUCAAAACAUUUAUCACUGUGACAUGAAAUCAACAUACAGACGAAUAAUGAGAUGUUUUGCAAUUUGGGCCACUAAAUCUUUGAAAUCUGUGGUGCAUUUUAUACUUAUAACAAAUCUCCAUUCAGACCAGCCACAUUUCAAGUACCCAAUAGCUGCAUGUGGCUAGGUCUACCAUACUGGCCCAUGUAGGUUUAGACCGUCAAGGUACAUUACUCAUAUGCAGAAUAUAUAAGGAACUCUUAAAACUCAAUGAUAAGAAAACCAACAGCUCAACAAAAUAUGGGCAAAGAUUUGAACUGAUACUUCAUCAAAGAAGAGAUACAAAUAGCAAAUAAAUGCACAAAAAGUUGCACUCAUUCAUUCAACCUAGCUCAUCAUUAAGGAAAUGUAAAUUAAACCACAAUGAAAUCUUACUAUACACCUACUAGAAUAACUGAAAUAAAAAGAAAGACCAUAAUGAGUGUUGUUGAGGGCAAAGGUCAACUGGAACUCUCACACAGUACCGUUGGGCAUGAAAAUGGUAAAACCAUUUUGAAAAAGCGUUUGGCAUUCCUUAAAAAGCUAAACACACACCGAUCAUAUGACCAAGCCAUUUGCAUUCACCCAACAGAAAUAUAAUGUUCCUACAAAGAUCUAUAUGUGAAUGUUCAUAGAUAACAUUUGACCAAAGAUAAUAUUACCACAGAUAAUAAUGU